GCCGGAGUGGUGAAAUUGGCAUACACAACGGCUUUAGGAGCCGUCUCCCGUAAGGGAUUGCGGGUUCGAGUCCCGCCUCCGGCA
rnacentral:tRNA from 1 species